CAACUGUGGUUUCCCUUCAAAAUUCGGAUAAAUCUUUCGCCUUUUACUAAAGAUUUCCGUGGAGGGGAACAAAUUGGAUCAGUCGAUAUAUAAAUUUUUUAUAUUACCUCGACUUUCGUCGAGGU